AACGAACGCUGGCGGCAUGCCUAACACAUGCAAGUCGAACGAGACCUUCGGGUCUAGUGGCGCACGGGUGCGUAACGCGUGGGAACCUGCCCUUAGGUUCGGAAUAACUCCCCGAAAGGGGUGCUAAUACCGGAUAAUGUCUUCGGACCAAAGAUUUAUCGCCUUUGGAUGGGCCCGCGUUGGAUUAGCUAGUUGGUAGGGUAAAAGCCUACCAAGGCGACGAUCCAUAGCUGGUCUGAGAGGAUGAUCAGCCACACUGGGACUGAGACACGGCCCAGACCCCUACGGGGGGCAGGAGGGGGGAAUAUUGGACAAGGGGCGAAAGCCUGAUCCAGCAAUGCCGGGGGAGUGAGGAAGGCCUUAGGGUUUUAAAGCUCUUUUACCCGGGAUGAAAAUGACAGUACCGGGAAAAUAAGCCCCGGCUAACCCCGU
rnacentral:rRNA from 1 species